rnacentral:rRNA from 1 species
UACAGAGGUCUCAAGCGUUGUUCGGAUUCAUUGGGCGUAAAGGGUGCGUAGGUGGCGUCGUAAGUCGGGUGUGAAAUUUCGGAGCUUAACUCCGAAACUGCAUUCGAUACUGCGGUGCUUGAGGACUGGAGAGGAGACUGGAAUUUACGGUGUAGCAGUGAAAUGCGUAGAGAUCGAUAAGGAAGACCAGUGGCGAAGGCGAGUCUCUGGACAGUUACUGACACUGAGGCACGAAGGCCAGGGAGCAAACGGG